GCGGAAGUUUUCGGAUGGAAGCAUAAACUUUAUCGGCGGACGGGUGAGUAACGCGUGGGUAACCUGCCUCAUACAGGGGGAUAACAGUUAGAAAUGACUGCUAAAACCGCAUAAGCGCACAUUGUCGAGUGACAGAGUGUGAAAAACUCCGGUGGUAUGAGAUGGACCCGCGUCUGAUUAGCUAGUUGGUGAGGUAACGGCCCACCAAGGCGACGAUCAGUAGCCGGCCUGAGAGGGCGACCGGCCACAUUGGGACUGAGACACGGCCCAAACUCCUACGGGAGGCAGCAGUGGGGAAUAUUGCACAAUGGGGGAAACCCUGAUGCAGCGACGCCGCGUGAGUGAAGAAGUAUUUCGGUAUGUAAAGCUCUAUCAGCAGGGAAGAAGAAAGACGGUACCUGACUAAGAAGCCCCGGCUAACUACGUGCCAGCAGCCGCGGUAAUACGUAGGGGGCAAGCGUUAUCCGGAUUUACUGGGUGUAAAGGGAGCGUAGACGGCUGUGCAAGUCUGAAGUGAAAGCCCAGGGCUCAACCCUGGGACUGCUUUGGAAACUGUGGAGCUAGAGUGCUGGAGAGGUAAGUGGAAUUCCUAGUGUAGCGGUGAAAUGCGUAGAUAUUAGGAGGAACACCAGUGGCGAAGGCGGUUUACUGGACAGUAACUGACGUUGAGGCUCGAAAGCGUGGGGAGCAAACAGGAUUAGAUACCCUGGUAGUCCACGCGGUAAACGAUGAAUACUAGGUGUUGGAGAGCAAAGCUUUUCGGUGCCGU
rnacentral:rRNA from 1 species